rnacentral:tRNA from 1 species
GGGCACAUGGUGUAGUUGGUUUAUCACGCCCGCUUAGCAUGUUAGUAGUUGCGGGAGGUGUUGGGUUCAAUUCCCAAUGUGUCCA